rnacentral:lncRNA from 1 species
UGAAUUAAUGAAGAAGGUUGAAGAGCAUGGAAUGAAAAGACACACGCCCAGCUUGUGAAGACAACGUGAUUAGUUCUUGGAAGAACACCAAGUGGAUUAGAUGCAGCUUAAGGUACAGCUCACGUUGAUCAUUUGUGGACCAGAAUCAAUAAAUGUCUGCUAGUUCUGGGAAAUUGAGAAUGAAACAUUUGAAAUGUUUCCACUGAUGUAUUUUAGAUUGUCUGAACGCCUUACUCCAUGUAUUCUGUAAAAGUGAAGAUUGGGAAAGUCUUUUGUACCUUUAAUUCAAGUAGAACCAAGAAGUUUGGACCUUUACAAACAAAUGUAGAAACAGCACCUGCUCAAACCUUGCCAAUUACCCACAAAUGGGAUCGGGGGAGUACUCUGGACUAGGAAUUCCAAGCCAUUGCUCACUUUGAAGCGAAUUCCCAAGACAAAGGACCAUGACAUAUAUCUUUCCACUCCUUUCUCUUAUCUCCCAUUUCUCUUUCUUCUCAAUCUCCAAAAUCGAAAGGAAUUCCAUGGACCAGCUCGCCAGCCACACAAUCCCGGCCAACACCACACCGCUCGUCAAUAUCUGGGGGAUUCAUCACGACCCGGCCCAGAGUCCUGAGCAG